UACGGGGGGAGCAAGCAUUAUUCAAAAUGAUUAGGCGUAAAGUGUUUGUAAAUAGUUUUUUAAGUUGAAAAAAAAAUAAUAAAGCUUAACUUUAUAAAUUUUUUCAAAACUUUUAAACUUGAGUAUAUUAUAGAAGAUAAUAGAAUUUUUAUUGUAGAGAUAAAAUAUGUUAAUAAUAAAAAGAAUUUCUAAAGCGAAGGCUUUUAUCUAUUUAUAUACUAACAUUGAAAAACGAAAGCUUGGGUAGCAAAAGGG
rnacentral:rRNA from 1 species